GACGGAGGGUGCAAGCGUUGCUCGGAAUCAUUGGGCGUAAAGGGUGCGUAGGCGGCUUCUUAAGUCUGACGUGAAAGCCCAGGGCUUAGCCUUGGAAGUGCGCCAGAAACUGGGGAGCUAGAGUGCCGGAGGGGAGAGUGGAAUUCCUGGUGUAGCGGUGAAAUGCGUAGAUAUCAGGAGGAAUACCGGUGGCGAAAGCGACUCUCUGGACGGCAACUGACGCUGAGGCACGAAAGCGUGGGUAGCAAAC
rnacentral:rRNA from 1 species